rnacentral:rRNA from 1 species
GACGAACGCUGGCGGCGUGCUUAACACAUGCAAGUCGAACGGAAAGGCCCUGCUUUUGUGGGGUGCUCGAGUGGCGAACGGGUGAGUAACACGUGAGUAACCUGCCCUUGACUUUGGGAUAACUUCAGGAAACUGGGGCUAAUACCGGAUAGGAGCUCCUGCUGCAUGGUGGGGGUUGGAAAGUUUCGGCGGUUGGGGAUGGACUCGCGGCUUAUCAGCUUGUUGGUGGGGUAGUGGCUUACCAAGGCUUUGACGGGUAGCCGGCCUGAGAGGGUGACCGGCCACCUUGGGACUGAGAUACGGCCCAGACCCCUACGGGGGGCAGGAGGGGGGAAUUUUGCACAAGGGGGGGAAGCCUGAUGCAGCAACCCCGCGGGCGGGAUGACGGCCUUCGGGUUGUAAACCGCUUUCGCCUGUGACGAAGCGUGAGGGACGGUAAUGGGUAAAGAAGCACCGGCUAACUACGU